rnacentral:rRNA from 1 species
UACGAAGGGUGCAAGCGUUACUCGGAAUUACUGGGCGUAAAGGGUGCGUAGGUGGUUUGUUAAGUCUGCUGUGAAAUCCCCGGGCUCAACCUGGGAAUUGCAGUGGAUACUGGCGAGCUAGAGUGCGGUAGAGGAUGGUGGAAUUCCCGGUGUAGCGGUGAAAUGCGUAGAGAUCGGGAGGAACACCCGUGGCGAAGGCGGCCAUCUGGACCAGCACUGACGCUGAGGCACGAAAGCGUGGGGAGCAAACAGGG